rnacentral:rRNA from 1 species
GAUGAACGCUGGCGGCGUGCCUAAUACAUGCAAGUCGAGCGAACGGACGAGAAGCUUGCUUUUCUGAUGUUAGCGGCGGACGGGUGAGUAACACGUGGAUAACCUACCUAUAAGACUGGGAUAACUUCGGGAAACCGGAGCUAAUACCGGAUAAUAUUUUGAACCGCAUGGUUCAAAAGUGAAAGACGGUCUUGCUGUCACUUAUAGAUGGAUCCGCGCUGCAUUAGCUAGUUGGUAAGGUAACGGCUUACCAAGGCAACGAUGCAUAGCCGACCUGAGAGGGUGAUCGGCCACACUGGAACUGAGACACGGUCCAGACUCCUACGGGAGGCAGCAGUAGGGAAUCUUCCGCAAUGGGCGAAAGCCUGACGUAGCAACGCCGCGUGAGUGAUGAAGGUCUUCGGAUCGUAAAACUCUGUUAUUAGGGAAGAACAUAUGUGUAAGUAACUGUGCACAUCUUGACGGUACCUAAUCAGAAAGCCACGGCUAACUACGUG